AAUGAACGCUGGCGGCGUGCCUAACACAUGCAAGUCGGAUGUGCCGCAAGGUGCAUGGCAGACGGGUGAGUAACGCGUAGGGAAUCUACCUUUUUGUGGGGAAUAACGCUCCGAAAGGAGUGGUAAUACCGCAUGAGACCGUGACCUGGGAUGGUUACGGUGAAACCUGGGGACCGCAAGGCCUGGGGCAAAAAGAGGAUCCUGCGUCUGAUUAGCUAGUUGGCGGGGUAAUGGCCCACCAAGGCGACGAUCAGUAGCCGGCCUGAGAGGGUGAUCGGCCACACUGGAACUGAGACACGGUCCAGACUCCUACGGGAGGCAGCAGUGGGGAAUUUUGCGCAAUGGACGAAAGUCUGACGCAGCAACGCCGCGUGGGUGAUGAAGGUCUUCGGGUUGUAAAGCACUUUUACCCAUGAAGAUGAUGACUGUAAUGGGAGAAUAAGCCCCGGCUAACUUCGUGCCAGCAGCCGCGGUAAU
rnacentral:rRNA from 1 species